GGAAAGGGGCGGCAUGCUAUACAUGCAAGUCGAACGAGCUUCCGUUGAAUGACGUGCUUGCACUGAUUUCAACAAUGAAGCGAGUGGCGAACUGGUGAGUAACACGUGGGAAAUCUGCCCAGAAGCAGGGGAUAACACUUGGAAACAGGUGCUAAUACCGUAUAACAACAAAAUCCGCAUGGAUUUUGUUUGAAAGGUGGCUUCGGCUAUCACUUCUGGAUGAUCCCGCGGCGUAUUAGUUAGUUGGUGAGGUAAAGGCCCACCAAGACGAUGAUACGUAGCCGACCUGAGAGGGUAAUCGGCCACAUUGGGACUGAGACACGGCCCAAACUCCUACGGGAGGCAGCAGUAGGGAAUCUUCCACAAUGGACGAAAGUCUGAUGGAGCAAUGCCGCGUGAGUGAAGAAGGGUUUCGGCUCGUAAAACUCUGUUGUUAAAGAAGAACACCUUUGAGAGUAACUGUUCAAGGGUUGACGGUAUUUAACCAGAAAGCCACGGCUAACUACGUGCCAGCAGCCGCGGUAAUACGUAGGUGGCAAGCGUUGUCCGGAUUUAUUGGGCGUAAAGCGAGCGCAGGCGGUUUUUUAAGUCUGAUGUGAAAGCCUUCGGCUUAACCGGAGAAGUGCAUCGGAAACUGGGAGACUUGAGUGCAGAAGAGGACAGUGGAACUCCAUGUGUAGCGGUGGAAUGCGUAGAUAUAUGGAAGAACACCAGUGGCGAAGGCGGCUGUCUAGUCUGUAACUGACGCUGAGGCUCGAAAGCAUGGGUAGCGAACAGGAUUAGAUACCCUGGUAGUCCAUGCCGUAAACGAUGAGUGCUAAGUGUUGGAGGGUUUCCGCCCUUCAGUGCUGCAGCUAACGCAUUAAGCACUCCGCCUGGGGGAGUACGACCGCAAGGUUG
rnacentral:rRNA from 1 species